AUUCGAUUGUGCCAGCAGCCGCGGUAAUACGUAGGGAGCGAGCGUUGUCCGGAAUUACUGGGUGUAAAGGGAGCGUAGGCGGGAUGGCAAGUCAGAUGUGAAAACUAUGGGCUCAACCCAUAGACUGCAUUUGAAACUGUUGUUCUUGAGUGAGGUAGAGGUAAGCGGAAUUCCUGGUGUAGCGGUGAAAUGCGUAGAGAUCAGGAGGAACAUCGGUGGCGAAGGCGGCUUACUGGGCCUUUACUGACGCUGAGGCUCGAAAGCGUGGGGAGCAAACAGGAUUAGAUACCCUGGUAGUCCACCCGUAAACGAUGAUUACUAGGUGUGGGGGGACUGACCCCUUCCGUGCCGCAGUUAACACAAUAAGUAAUCCACCUGGGGAGUACGGCCGCAAGGUAAACUCAAGAA
rnacentral:rRNA from 1 species